rnacentral:rRNA from 1 species
ACGAACGCUGGCGGCGUGCUUAACACAUGCAAGUCGAACGGAAAGGCCCUGCUUUUGUGGGGUGCUCGAGUGGCGAACGGGUGAGUAACACGUGAGUAACCUGCCCUUGACUUUGGGAUAACUUCAGGAAACUGGGGCUAAUACCGGAUAGGAGCUCCUGCUGCAUGGUGGGGGUUGGAAAGUUUCGGCGGUUGGGGAUGGACUCGCGGCUUAUCAGCUUGUUGGUGGGGUAGUGGCUUACCAAGGCUUUGACGGGUAGCCGGCCUGAGAGGGGGACCGGCCACAUUGGGACUGAGGUACGGCCCAGACUCCUACGGGAGGCAGCAGUGGGGAAUAUUGCACAAUGGGCGGAAGCCUGAUGCAGCAACGCCGCGUGCGGGAUGACGGCCUUCGGGUUGUAAACCGCUUUCGCCUGUGACGAAGCGUGAGUGACGGUAAUGGGUAAAGAAGCACCGGCUAACUACGUG